rnacentral:tRNA from 1 species
GGUUGUGGCUCAGUGGUAGAGUGCUUGCCUUGCAUGUGUGAGGCACUGGGUUUGAUCCUCAGCACCA